UUGGGGUAGUGAUGUGUUGUCCAAAAUUAAUAGGAGGAGUGGUUAAUUUUGUUACAAAAGAAUAGUUGGGGAUCAGGUUUGUUAAUGGGUUUGUUAUUUUUGUAUUCUUAUGGGAUAUAAUCAUACGGGUGAGGGCACGUGGUAAUACAGGGAUAAAAAUGUGUAACUUUGGUCUUCGGGAGGGACAAAAUUAGGUGUCUACAUCAUGCCCCCUUUGAAUGUAAACAUGAAGUGUUUUCAGGCUAAGAAGUAGACAGCGAGACCAAAUUUUGACCCGACCAUUAUUCAAAGAAAGAAACAGAAGGAAGAAGGACAACCGGGUCUUGACUUAAAACAUCCUUCCUACCCAAGUUAUGAAAGAAUCAAGUCACGGGUAUUUCAAAGGAUUGGAAGAGAAGUGGACUAUACCGAGUUGGAGAGUCGAGUGAGGUACCGACGAGGUUUCGGUACGCGGCUCUGUCAUUACAUCUAAAUGAAAAUUACAAGUUAAAACAUAAAUGAAAUUACAAAAAUCCUAUCUAUACAGCUUCUGUUGGCUCUUGACUCGACUUUUAUCACCCCAUUCUUCAGGCGGGCUCCUGACUUGCAAUUUCUUCCCACUUGUUGCUUGGCUUUCAAUUGUUUCGCUUUGUUGCUUGACUUUUCGUUUCUUCACCCUAUUUUCCAGGCGGGCUCCUGACUUGCUAUUCAUCACUUUGUUGCCUGACUUUUCAUUUCUUCACUCCGUUCUCCAGGCGGGCCUCUGACUUGCUAUUCCAUUACCAUGUUCUUCAGGCGGGCUCCUGAAACUCAAAAUUAAAACCAGGACGAAAAUUAUCCCAAACAAGAAUUAUAAUAAAGUAGCAUUUCAUUUUUGAAAGCGUUGUCCCAUUUUCCAGGAGGGUCCUGAACAUAAAGUAAAUUCCCAUUUUUCAGGAGGGUCCCCAACAAAAGUAAAAUCCCAUUUUUUAAUAGGGUCCUGAACAUAAAGUAAAAUCCCAUUUUUCAGGAGGGUCCUGAACAUAAAGCAAAAUCCCAUUUUUCAGGAGGGUCCUGAGCCUAAAGUAAAAUCCCAUUUUUCAGGAGGAUCCUGAGCAUACAAUAAAAUCCCAUUUUUCAGGAGGGUCCUGGGCCUAAAGUAAAAUCCUAUUUUUCAGGACGGUCCUGAACAGAAAGUAAAAUCCCAUUUUUCAAGAGGGUCCUGAACAGAAAGUAAAGACCCAUUUUUCAGGAGGGUCCUGAACAGAAAGUAAAAUCCCAUUUUUUUAGGAGGGUCCUGAACAUAAAGUAAAAUCUCAUUUUUCAGGAGGGUCCUGAACAGAAAGUAAAAUUCCAUUUUUCAGGAGGGUCCUGAACAGAAAGUAAAGUCCCAUUUUUCAGGAGGGUCCUGAACAGAAAGUAAAAUCCCAUUUUUCAGGAGGGUCUUAAACAUAAAGUAAAAUCCCAUUUUCCAGGAGGGUCCUGAGCAGAAAGUAAAAUUCCAUUUUUCAGGAGGGUCCUAAACAUAAAGUAAAAUCCCACGGAUGUGCAUUUCCAAUGGUAGCUGAAUCAAGUGAAGCGAAUUUGCCCCUAUUUCAACAAAGAAAAAUUGUCAGUUAAAAACUUAGUGGUGGCUUGCAGAUCUUGGCUUCUCAGGUAUCUGCCCCAGCACUCGUUCCUUUCAUCUUUGUUCCAAAUCGUUAACGCUUGCCCUGACUUUCCAUAUCAUUGACCCGGAUCCAUAUUGAGGGAAGUGAGUUCCGACUCGAAUAAUGGGUUUCCAUUUUACCAUGCCUCUGAGGUGCACCCUUUUCCCAAAUCUAAAUGUUUCCGUGAAUCCAACAGCCUGUCGGUUGAUAUACUUCCUUUGUUUCGUGUUGAAUUAUGAUCAUAUUUCUUUCUUGUGCUGUUUCUUGGCUUUUUCUCGUAUAAUUGGAAAGAUUGGUAGUAAAUUUUGAAAUUCUUUCUCGCUUGUUUUGACACAGACUUGACUUAAAAUGUAAAGAAAUGAUGGUGACCUUUAUUUUGAUAAAUGACAUAAAAAGAUAAAAAGCAUGAAUAUGUAAAUGAAAGAAAAGGGCAAUGUCCCAUAUUCAAAAAGAAAACUUAUCUGAAUACGACAACCAACUCCAAUGAGUAUGACAUGCAUUUUGGAUUGAGCUGCCUGAUCUUCCUAUCCAAACUCCCCAUUUGUUGUUGAGUUCGUACCUUUGCCUCUGAGCCGCUUCUUCAAAUCCAUUGGACUCAUAUAUCAUAUCCGAUUGACGACAUCUUAAAAGACUUUCGCCAACAAAUCUCUUUCUUUUCACCUUUCACUUUUCUCUUGAAAUCUCCAUUGCCUUACGGUGCCUGUGAGGGUUUUCACCAAUAAGACUCUCUCAUUUUUAUUUCUCUCCACUCACCAUCGCCUUAUGGUGCCUGCAAAGGUUUUCACCAAUAAGACUCUCUCAUUUUCAUUUUCUCUCAACUCACCAUCGCCUUAUGAUUCCCACAUGGGUCUUCACCUUCAUGUCUCUCAACUCACCAUCGCCGUAUGAUGCCCGGGGGGGUUUUCACCAAUAAGACUCUCUCAUUUUUGUAUUUCUUUCCUGAUUUCUUAUGCUGAGGGAGACAAGUGAUACUUCACAAUAUAUUAUCAUAUCCAUUGCAUGCUUAGCCUUAACAUUAUCAAAAAUUGAUCUGAAGGACUUUCUUUGGUUGUANNNNN
rnacentral:lncRNA from 1 species